rnacentral:lncRNA from 1 species
UCCCCCGGGUGGUGGUGACGAGGCCGGGCACGCAGGCGGAGGGGAGUGGCCUCUGCCCCCCACGGGAACUCGAGGAAGGGGCGAGCAGGGGGCCCGGCUCUGCGGAGGGAAGAGGACUUGAGACCAGGGGCCCGGCCUCUGCUCAGGUUUGGCUCACAGCCUGCGACUGGCGCUGCCCGAAGGGACUGCCCUUCGGAUGCUUUGAAAACUUAAGAAGCCAAAGCAAUUUUUUAAAUGUCCCGCUCAAGACUUUAAAAACUGGAGGCGGAGAGUCUGAGGGGUCCAUAACCUGACACUUUGGUGAGAGACGUUCUGGGAGGAGCCCCCUGUGAGACUGUCAGAAAGUCCACACGGAAAAGCCCUCGCUGUGGAUGCUGAAGGUUACUUUAGUUCUACCUUUCUUUCUGCCUAAUCUUCAGGUGGACUCGGGCAGUUUUUGCCCCAGGCACAAAGUAGAUAAAAGUACAAAAACUUCCUGUUUGCUGCCCAGACCUUCUCCAGCUAUUAAGAACUUGUUCCAGUGAUGGAGCCUCAAAGGAAUUUGUGAAUUCCUCUCCCACAAGUGCAUAGGGGCAGAGGUGCUGGGAGAAUGAGGAAUUCACAGAGGACUUGAGCAUGACAGUCAUAAUAGAUGAACCAGUCUUAAGGGAAAAGAGAAAAGACUGAGUGAGCCAACGUACUGUUUUUCCUCCAAAUAGGAAGGUUUUGGUAAAGAAUUACACGCCACUGAAGAGUAAAUUACAUUUUUGUAACUUUCCAAAGACACAGACCUUCUCUAAACUUUUUGAGGGGUGUAUGCUGCCAGGUGCUAGACAUACAAACUUCAUUUGUACAAUCACAGUUGAAAGCCAGAUCUGUACUUGGUGUGUGAACACAGCCCAGGAGAAGACAAGAUUAAUAAAGUUCAGGUUGAGGAGAAAAGGUAUUCUAGUCCGACUGAGCAGAAAGAAUGUCUCUCAUGUCCCAAGAAAAGCAUGGUCUGUGUGUGAACAGGCGUCUCUAUUUGGCUGGAUCAAAGGGCACUUGCCGGAAGAGUUUGUGAGUGAAAAUAGAAGCAGCCGUUCCCCCAACCUUACCCUAUGUGACACUCUAGCAACAGCCAGCCAGUUAGGAUUUGGGAUUCGAUCUCUGCUACAUGUUAAAGGGUUGUGGGUGAUUCUGUCCCAACAGCAAGAGUUUAUGAAGGAGUCCUCAUCUGCAGAGGAGGAGAAAAAGGCAGAGGAAUCCUCAUGUCAAAUGAAGUAAAGGAGUUUUGUAAAAUGUGGGAAAUUUUGUAGAAAAG